GCCAUAAAGAUUUUUGCAUUUGUCUUUUGUUACACUGACACUCAAGAGUGAUAUUAAAAAUUGUCCCUUACAUGUUUAAAGCCAAUCAAGUCUCAAAACAAGUGUCUGAGGUCAAAGGCUCUGCAAUCCCCGCCCUUACUUCCAUUGUGCUAUAUCUAUCUCUAUCAAGAUUAAGGAUUUAACCGUUAUCCACUGUAUGAAGCCCUGCUACCUUUAAAGCACCCAGCUGAGAAGCACGGCCAAGAACAGCACUGAUGACGCAAUAGGCAGCUUAAUGUGUAUUGAAUGAAUGAAUGAUUCUGUAGGUGCAUCCCAAUUCAUAUGCUUAUGCACUAAGCCAUUUUGUAAUAUAAAUAUUGUGUUCACACUUAAAAAUUCCAACACAGAAUUUUGGACACUUCAUGUACUCAGUCAUUGCACCUUUAAUUAUGUAAUUGAUGACAAGCAAGUUGUCUAAAUGCCAUACACUAGACACACAGUACAUAGUUUAAGAGCGUACAAUGUAAUUUUGGACAGGUACUGACAUAUUUCUACAUUAAAAUGUCCAUAAUUAAAACUUUAACCUCAUAACAUUAUUGAUGCAAUUGCAAUUGUAAUUUGACUGUAUUGUAAAUGCAAUUAUGCUACCA